rnacentral:rRNA from 1 species
UACAGAGGGGGCAAGCGUUGUUCGGAAUUACUGGGCGUAAAGGGCGCGUAGGCGGCCUGCUAAGUCGAACGUGAAAUCCCCGAGCUCAACUCGGGAACUGCGUCCGAUACUGGUUGGCUUGAAUCCGGGAGAGGGAUGCGGAAUUCCAGGUGUAGCGGUGAAAUGCGUAGAUAUCUGGAGGAACACCGGUGGCGAAGGCGGCAUCCUGGACCGGCAUUGACGCUGAGGCGCGAAAGCCAGGGGAGCGAACGGG